rnacentral:rRNA from 1 species
UGGGGAAUCUUAGACAACGGGGGCAACCUGAUCUAGCCAUGCCGCGUGAGUGAUGAAGGCCUUAGGGUGUAAAGCUCUUUCAGCUGGGAAGAUAAUGACGGUACUUGAGGAGGAAGCCCCGGCUAACUACGUGCCAGCAGCCGCGGUAAUACGUAGGGGGCUAGCGUUAUCCGGAAUUACUGGGCGUAAAGGGUGCGUAGGUGGUUUUUUAAGUCAGAAGUGAAAGGCUACGGCUCAACCGUAGUAAGCUUUUGAAACUAAAGAACUUGAGUGCAGGAGAGGAGAGUAGAAUUCCUAGUGUAGCGGUGAAAUGCGUAGAUAUUAGGAGGAAUACCAGUAGCGAAGGCGGCUCUCUGGACUGUAACUGACACUGAGGCACGAAAGCGUGGGGAGCAAACAGGAUUAGAUACCCUGGUAGUCCACGCCGUAAACGAUGAGUACUAGGUGUCGGGGGUUACCCCCCUCGGUGCCGCGGCUAACGCAUUAAGUACUCCGCCUGGGAAGUACGCUCGCAAGAGUG